GUCAAUAGUUACUUUAACAUCCCAAAAGACUCCAGUAAGAUCCUUCUAACCAUCAUUAGUACAAGGUGAUGCUUAAAAAAGAAAAGAGCAGGACCAUUUUAUAUUCAUUACCCAUUCUGACUUAGUUGGAUACAAAUUCAAGGAAUGAAAGGAAACAAAUAUAAUAGAAUAGAAGAAUGUUUGUGCAAAGUAAUCUUCGCAGUUCAUCCAAUCAC
rnacentral:misc_RNA from 1 species